GAAUAGCAGCACCCGCGAGGGAGAGCAGCGGCAGCUCCAAUGAAUUCAAACUCCAAGAUGGGAAGAAGAAGAGAAUCAGAGACUUGAGUCAAGCACCAUGCAAAUUGGAGUACCAACUUCAUCUAAUUGCUACAGAAAAACAAUGUGCUACUUUUCAAUUUAAUUCAUGGCUACACAAAUUUGCGUUGCCAUGAACAAAAUCUUGCCUUACACUGGACAAAGGAAGAACGCAUCCACAACAAGAGACAUCGCCUGGCUUCAGUCCCCCGCUGGACCAAGACGCCGGCUCCAGUGGCUUCGUCCCUACCGCACCGACGAAUCACACCUCCGCGUUUAAUCCUGCCGCCACCAAUGGCGAUGGCAUUUGCUUCCCCUGGCCUCGGCCCCGCGCUAGACCAGGACACCAGAACCACCAGUUUCGCAGCCGCUCGGCGACGGGGUCGCUGCCCGCACGGAGACGCGCGUAGGCACCCGAGGCCGCGGCUCCUGGACCAUCCUCCGUGGUGACGCCCCUGGCGCCCGACGCGGCCACCACAUCUAACGCGGAGUGACUUCGUCCAUGGACUCGCCUGUCGAGGGAAUUGUCGCGGCUUCCGGUCGGCGACGCCUGAAGUGGGCACGCCGCAGCGGCUUGUCCCUCCGGCAUCGGUGACUUGCUCCAUGCGCGUCAGCAAAGCAAGGCAAGGUGAGGCGGUGCAGUCUGGCGUGGCUCCUUCGGGCGCGCACGCUGCGGUGUCCUUCGGCCUCGGCAACAGGGGUCGGGGGAGCGGUUGCUCCAAGGGAGACGAAACCGUCUCCUCCUCCUGCCUUAUCCACUCCAGGUGGUGGUUGGCUGGGCCGCCUGUAAGGCCGCAUGGGCCAGCAGGCCCAUGUGUUUUCGGUCCAUUUUAAAUCCUGGACGAUUUUACCGAAUUAAUCCUACAUUUUUCUUGAUUAAUUUCGCAUUUUGUUCUAUUAACAGUAGUUUAACUCCGUUUUAGACACUGUUAAUUACAGUACUUAAAUUUUCAGUAUUGUAAAUAUGUUGAGUACUAUGUAUUCCAUAUAAUAUGUUGAUGUAAUAUAUCUCCGUGUUUCUUACAUGUUGAGAUUAAUUACAUCUAUUAUUUGCAACUGAGAUUUUUUUAUCUCUUGCAAAGAUAUUCAGUACCUCUAUAGUACUGUUUCUUCAUUGAGUACGGUGUAUUUCGAAAUAUUUUCUAUGAUGUAUCUAUUUCCAUGUUAAACACAUCUCGAGAUUAAUACAUCUAUUUGCAAUAGAGAUUUUUAAUUUCUUGCAAAUACAGAUGCAAACUUCUUAGUGAUUUCUUCAAAUUGAUGUAUUGGGAUCACAAGGUAGUGUGUAGAUCUACUGCUUUGUAGAUUAUCACCACUACAGUUAAAGCCUACAUUUUGUCAUUUUGACAUUAUUAUUACUUUACAAAGUGCUCUCCCACACAUUUUUCUAAGUCAUCACAUAAGGCAUUACGAGUUGAGUAUGUACUGAUUUCAUCAGAUUAUACUCCCUAGUGCUGCGAGAUCUACUCCAUUUCGGAGAUUAUCUUCAACAUGUCAUACUUAGCAAUUUGAGAUUCACAACUAAUGGUUUCUUGAAAUUUCCAUUAAUUUUGCAAUUCAUUACAACUCUAACCAUGAUGGUCUUUAAUUUACUGAUCGUAAAUUAAUUAUCUCUAGUAACCGAUGGCUAGAGAAUUGAGGCAUUCACCCUUAAUGGCCACCACUGGCCUACCUAGGCCAUGGACAUCAUGAUCGCUCUUGUGUCUCGUGGGAUAAUGUGUGCCAUCCAAGACCCGUCGGAUCCUCCUAAGGUUGGAGUCACACCACUAACAGAAUAAACAUGUUGCUUUAUGCACCAUAAGGCAUUAUAUCGAUCCAGAUCUCAGCAUCUGGUUAUUCUGUAUUAGCAAUCCCUGGGAUACAAAGAACCUCAAGGGAAAAAGGUUCGAAGGUCACUCCAAACCUUCAACCUGCCACCAUCAUGGCAGUCAGUUAUUUGCAUGACGUUCUUCUAGAACCGAGCAAUAAAAUGACUAUCCAGCUGUCACAGGACCCUAUGAGCAGGGAGAACAUGAAGGUUGAAUAUGCAUCAAUUGACAUGUUUGGAGACUACAUUUAGUCCCUCAAUCUCCUUAGUGAUCUAUUUAUUUAUGUCCAUUUCUGAUGUUCUAAUGUGAACAUGGUUAUUGUUGUCAUCAUAUAUUGUAUCAGCAUUUUGGUACAAAUACAUUUAUAUGUAUUCUAUAUAUCUACAAUGAUUUUCUUGAGAAUCUUCAUGUCUAUAUAUAGAUUUCUAUGGGGGUCAAUCUGAUAAAAGAUGAUUUGUGCAAUGUGGACAUAUGCAUCACGAACUCUAUAAUCAGGGAAGUGAGAUGUUUCCACUCUCGUUGAGAGAAAGGAGAUAUUUUAAAAUUGCUAGACACGAUGAGGUAUUUGUUGGCUCAACUCGAGUCAUAUUUACUGUCCCUGUGGGUACUCGAGUAACAUCAGGAUGCUUUAUUGCUUUCGGGUUUAACUCGUAUCCUACUAAACUAUAGAGGUAUCCGUCAAAAUAGUUUCCAUAGUGAAACUUAUGAUGACAAUAAAGAGGAAUAUCUUCUCUUUACGGUAUGCAACGGAUAUGGCAAGCACAUUCUCUAUGUAUUAUCCGGGUUGUACUACACAUACUACAAAACCCGUAGCACAUGUUGCGCAUGAGAGAGCUUUCCAGAGUGUCUUUUGCAUGACAAACUUGGUAUUCCCUCUUUGGCCAUCAUUGACAUUGGGUUGAAACCAAAACUAUCAACAAUUCCAAUGGUUUAUGAUUAUUAUGAUGCUAAAUUAUAACAUUUUAUGUGCACUACGUGUGACACAGGGAGGCUAAUUUUAAGGCUCUCAUGCCUUAAAGUCUACGCUGAACCUCUCAGACUCCUUGAAUGCAUCAAGUCGAGGUAAGUGGCUCUUCCCAACCAUUGAGUAGACUAUUCAGGUAUUCCAUGGUUCUAAAGGACAUAUCUACACGAUGGUGUUAAAUGUGUGCUUUAUUCACACGGAACCAAUGGCUCAUUAUACUGACAUCGAUUUCAAGCAAAUCGAAUGGACAACAUUGUAGAAUUCUCCUUGUGCCUUCUCUAUGGCCCUCGGAUUGAAGUUUAGCAAUUUGUGCUAAUGUCUAGACUCAAAAUGGUUUGGUAGAAUCCUUUAUCCAAAGAGUUAAGCUCAUUGCAUUAUCUUCACUUUGGAAUUGCAACUUACCAACUUUACAUUGGAGUCAUGCAGUUUUACACGCUCAUGUCCAAACUGCAUAUAUUAUUCCCCUCUAUCUUUGAUACGUGGAAAUCUACCAAGUAUUUCCCAUCUGCGGUAAUUCAGUUACACACCAACAUCACCACCCCGGCAUACAUCAUUGGCCCCUCAACAUAUAGUUGGGAUCUAUGUGAGGAAUAACUGUAUUUCCGUGAAUACCUCAAGCCCCUCGCAUGGGGAGUUAUUUAAGGCCAGUAUCCUGAUUCAAUGAGGAACAUUUCCAGGCAUUAGGGGGAGAAUUCAAGUACCAUAAAGAAUGCCAGGAAAUUAGUGGAAUGUUCAACACAUUUCUGCCUCAGAUCCACGUACUCAAAGAUCUAAACCAUGCGUUCAGAAGAUUUGCAUUACAUUGCAAAUAAACUGCCAGAUUCAUUUACUGACUAUAAAGGUGUCACACAAUCCUGCAAAAGUAUGCCUGAAAGAGUGGAGAUACCAACAAAAUCCACUCCACUCUCUGUUCAAAGCAACAUGGGGAGAUGUAUGGCAUAAGUACAUCAGGAUUCAAAUUCUCGCAAGCAAGGAUAUCAAGGCCUAUGAAUUAGUAAAUGCAAGUCAACUUCACGUUGACAGACACCUAAUGGGCAGUAUACCCAGUGGAUGGGAAACCUCCACCAACCCAGGUCACAGUGCACACAAUGACCGGGACAUCGGAAUACCCGACUCAAUCACAUUGGGAAAUCGCGAGCAGUCACCAUGGGUAACGAUAUUUCCAUCAACUAUAUAUUUAUAUAUAGAUUCUGGAGAAUCAUAUAUCUGGAAGACUACAAUUGUCGACAUACAUUUCUCAACUAGAUUGCAAAAACCUUUCAAAUGAUUCAGAUCCAGAGACCAUGGCCAUGGCAAAGUGUGAAAAACACUCGGAUUGAACUCAAGCAAAAGGUAUAAUCUAGGUAGAAAUGACCUUGCUCAAUAAUGGGAAGGUAUUCAUAAGCAAUGUCUACACCAGUUUUCUUCUCAAAACGGAAUUGAGAAAAUCGAGGUGGUGAAACAAAGAGCAAGUAUUGUAGCACAAGGGUUCAUGUAGAUGCCCAACUAUUCUCCAAAGGUGGAAUCUCUUUCCGAUAAUUUAUAUCAUUGGUAGUACAAAAUCAUCUAUCUCUGUAGUUGAGAGAUGUAGUGGUUACAUACCCAUGUAGAUCACUACAUUCAGAUAUAGAUGGUUCCCGAUGGAACCUCAAUUCUGAAUCGAAGUACAAAAUGCAACAUAUAUUGUGUAAAAACAAUAAGUCACUAUGUGACUUAUUAUUAUCGUCGGUACAUUUGGUACAACCGUGGUAGUGAGUUCCUUAUUCACAAGGAUUACUCCUACCAUGAUGAUUAUCCAUGUUUGUGUGUCUGCAAUGAUGACACAUGCAAUCAUCUAAAUGACGGAGUUUAAAAUGAAGAAUUUGGGUAAACCAAAAUACCGUUCGCUACUACAACUUGAGCACCUUCAUUCAUACAUUAUGGUACACCAUGUUGUCUAUAUCCAAAAUAUAUUGGGGAAAUUCAUUGUGGACAAAUCUUAUCCAUCCAUAACUCUCAUGGUAGUUCAUUCUCUAGACGUAGAGAAAGAUCUAUUUAGACCAAGAGAUGACGGAAAUGAGAUAUCGGGACUCAAUCUUCCAUAAUGCCAUUGGAUCCACCAAACGCAAUUGGUUGGUACUCAAGAAUAUCUUUCGAUAUCUCCAAGGCAUCAAACAUCUUGUCUUGGUUUUUUAGUUUCAUAGGAAUGUGAACACCGAUAUCAUUGGAUACGUAGAUCAGAACCCUACUAUGUCAUAUUGUAGACAAGCUUAGUGUUCCUCCUAGGUGUAGUAGCCCUCUCAUGAGAAAUCUUUGAAACAUACCUCAUGGCUACAUCCACCAACCAUUAUCUCAACGAUAAUGUUUCUUGUGUUUCCCGAAUGCAAACAAGUUACAUAAUAAGCAAUAUCACUAUAUUGCAUAUCUUUCAAGUCAAAUCAUGCGACUGAUUUGCUGAUCAGGUUUCUACCAACUUCUAUGUUCCGGAAAUGUGUUCAUAGGAUUGGUAGGUGACGACUUCGGAUUUUGCAAGAAUCAGGGGGAUUAUCUUCCUGAAUUGUUCAUGUUCAAUGCAUCACAUUAUACUCUUUUUCCCUUCAUGAGUUUACUUUACAAGUUCUCAUAAAGGUUUUUAAUGAGGUAAUAUCAAAAUGAGAUCAUAUGUCAUACUUUCAGUUUUCCCCACCGGAUUAAUUAGGAAUGUAUAUACGACAUAUUUAUUGUCCUCUGAACUCUAUGGGUUUUCUUGUAUUGAGUUAAAAGAGACAAUAACCAUUAUAUGUUGCACCAUUUUCUCCUUAUUUAUCCCACUGGGUUUGAAGGAGUUUUAGCAACGUAUCAUACUACAAUACUUCUCACAUUUUCCCAUAGGGUUUUUGGAGAAGAGUUAAUUCAAGGAUGAUCCCAGAGAUGAUCGAUUGCAAGGACAAGGAAGGAUUAGGGGGAGUUUUAGGAUUAAAUUAAUAGGUUAAUUAAAGAGAUAAUCCUCCCAUUGUAAUCUGUACGUUGGUUGCAUUGGCAACCAUCGCGCCUCUCCCCUUGCACCUCUACGAACAGUCGCAUCUCUUAAUCGCAUUUGUUCCCCUUGUAUAUAUAUCGAGAAUCAUUCAAUGAAAUCGACAGUUCGAUCAUUUGUUCCUUUCGAUCUCAAAUAGGUUUAUCCCUGAUCGAUACAAAAUCCUAAUUAUAGAGCAUUUGAGACACUUUUGGAUCCUCAUGCCUAGGUUUUGUUCAACUAUUUGACUUUCCAGGCCAACCAUCAAAAGAUGGAAAUCUAUGUAGGGCAAGUCUCUAGGCUUGUCUCAAUCUUCACAAUCUGAAGCUGGCAAAGGGUAAAAUCGCAAAGAAGACAUAGAUCUCAAGAGGAAACACACAAAAAUAAGGUUCACAUCACAUAUACACUAAUAGCAUCCAAUGGAGAGUUACACGUACAUCAAGAUUCACACACAACAAAAGGAAAAGGUAAAUGAUGAGUUCUUCCCAAAUCUCUAAAAGAGAUGGGGUCUUUAGAGGUAGAUCUUCCCCAAUCCAAAGGAUAUGGAUGUCUUGAUUAACCACAAGGGUUUAUUCUCCUAGUGGAGGCCUUGAUCUCCAAAGGAGAUGAUAGAUGAGCAAAAGCCUCUCAAGUUUAGUCAAAAUGCUUUGGUAAAUAACCUGAGGAGAGGGGCGAAAUAUAUGGUCUAGGUGCAAAAGGGGUAUGGGCCUCAACCCGAAAUAGUGGAUAGACCAAGAUACUAGAUAGUCUGGUCGAGAUCUACCGGUCUGUUCGGUAGUGUAUUUCUCUUGAAGCUUCAGCGUGGGACCGGAUAGUCUGGUUGGUUCUGGCGAGACAGUCUAGUUAGUCAGAGAGAUUCGUUUGCGAUUCCAGUGUCGUUCGGACAGUCCCAUUCCGUUAACCAUACAAUCUGGUCCCUUCGACCAAACAGUCUGUUGACACCAGAAGAUUUUGCCUGAAGUGUUUCUAGCAGCCGAACUAUCUGGUCAGAGGGCUAGACUAUCCGGUAGUGCAAAUUUGCUCAUUGUCUCCCUUCCAUACACGCGAGACAAGGUUACUACCUAAUACGGACAUGCUAUGUGUAAUUAGGUAUCAAGAAGAUGGCCAGGAGAAGCUAGGAGUAAUGGGCAAGGUGGCGUAGAUGCGGAGCAAGAUAAUCAAUAAGGAAAGCUACAACCACCAGAUGUCCGGUAGGACCACAGACGCCCGAUGUAGCGUGAGGAGGACCUCAAAGGAAAACAACUCACAAAUCAACUCUACAGUGGCCGGACAUCUGACGCGUCCCGAGCCACCGGACAUCCGCUCCUUACUAGAAAUCCGACAAUGAUUAUCGAGAAGGCAAAUGGCGAAUAUUACCAGAUGUCCGACGUCUGACGUCCUCCAGACAUCCGGCGUCACUAGAGCCACCGGACAUCCGGUAACUUGCGCGCACAAACUUGGGCCUCGACCUUGUAUCUAUCACGACCCGGUCCCUGAAUGGGGCCUCAAUCUCUGUGCUUAUUGUGUCAGUCCCUGGAUCAAUAGCUGACACGCACAAUUGACGAUGAAAUACGGAGAAUACAUCAUGUAUCAAGUAUUACAUCACAGAUAUAGUGUUUUACAAUAUGUACCUGCUUGGCUCAUGGGCUACCUUACAAUAUAAUCAUGCAGCGGAGAUUUCAUUCUAGUCUUGUGGCGUCAAUGCACUCACACGCAAAAGUUGAGUAUAGCAUUGUAACCCUACUUCUUACCUUCCACUCGAGACCGUAAACCUGCAACAUGAUAUGCUGCAGCCACAAGGGUCAAUACAUCAAAUGUAUUGGCAAGCUUCACCAGGAUUAGCUUAUUGGAAAAGUAAACAUGCAACUGGUGCGGCUAGUUUUCUUUUGUGCAAAAAUAGUUUCCCUAUCUUGUAUAGUAGUGGUCUACUCUAAUAGCAAUACGACACUUCCGAUAAACCUCAGCCGUAAUCUAUAGGCACUCCCGGUAAACCCUUGUCGUAGCACAAAGAAUUUGAGCAUGUGGGCUCUGUGGUAAACCCUGGUUACCCCAACCUUCCUAGAAGAAUCUUCUAGUAAGCCAAGGGAUCCUGGGUUGGUCCACACUCCCUGUUGGUUCAACCCAUUGAUUCAAAUUAAAGAAGAGGCGAUGAGAUCACCCUGAUAGCUCUCAGGUGAGUUGCUCAAAUUUGUCCAUAACCGGGGACACGAUAAUCAUGAUAAGUUUUAUACACUCUGCAGAGGUUUGUGUACUUUACUUGUGAUUUUCUGAUCACACCCUUAAGCCACUAAACUUCACUUGUGAAGUAGCCCGGUAGACCAAGACAAGACUUUUGGGAAGUAGUAGCCUCUCUGAAAAGGUAUACCUAGUCCGGGGGUCCUACUGCAUGAACUACAUUUGUUGGUCUACCGCAGGAGGUUUCCCACAACUUACUUGGUCCAGACAGAGCCCAUAUUGUCUCACUGUUACACAAGGAAGCUACUCAACUUUGAACUCGUACAAUCCCUUUGAGCCUGGGCGAUCGCCCACAAAACAUUCAUCCAUCCAAGCAAAUCCAAAGCACCGCCCAGAUAAUUCAUUAAUUAAGUAGUAGUUAAGUAGUUGCUACUUCUUGAGUUUGCGUUGGUUUUUUCCUUGAAGAGGAAAUGGUGAUGCAGCAAAGUAGAGAUAAGUAUUUUCCUCAGUUAAGAACCAAGGUAUCAAUCCAUUAGGAGGAACACACAAGCCUCCAAUGAUUGCACCUGCACAAUCAAACAAAUACUUGCACCCAACGCGAUAAAGGGGUUGUCAAUCCCUUCACGGUUACUUGCAAGGAUGAGAUCUAGUAAUGAUAGUUAUACAACAUAAGUAAAAGUGCUAAAUAAAAUAAAAGUAAAUAAAUUGCAGCAAGAUAUUUUUGUGUUUUUGAUUUUGUAGAUCUAAAAAUAACAUGAUAAAAGAUAGACCCAGGGGCCACAAUUUUCACUAGAGGCUUCUCUCUUGAAAGAAAACAUACGGUGGGUAAACAAAUUACUGUUGAGCAAUUGGUAGAAAAGUGCAUAGUUAUGAAGAUAUCGAAGGCAAUGAUCAUGUAUAUGGGCAUCACGUCCGAGACAAGUAGUCCGACUUCUGCCUGCAUCUACUACUACUACUCCACACAUCGAACGGAGUAAUGCCUUAAGCAAGAUGAUAUGAUGUAGAGGGAUAGAUCCAAUCAAUAUGAACAAACCCCAUCUUUUUAUCCUCAAUGACAACAAUACAAAUACGUGUUAUGUCCCUUUCUGUCACUGGGACUGAGCACCGCAAGAUUGAACCCAUUACAAAGCACCUCUCUUAUUGCAAGAAAAAUCAAUCUAGUUGGCCAAACCAAAUCAAUAGAUCGGAGAGAAAUACAAAGCUAUAUAAAUCAUGCAUAAAAGAGUUUAGAGACGACUUAAAUAAUAUUCAUAGAUAAUCUGAUCAUAAACCCACAGUUCAUCGAAUCUCAAUAAACACACCGCAAAAGAAGAUUACAGCAAAUAGAUCUCCAAGAACAUCGAGGAGAACAUUGUAUUGAAGAUCAAAGAGAGAGAAGAAGCCAUCUAGGUACUAGCUAUGGACCCGUAGGUCUGUGGUAAACUACUCACACAUCAUCGGUAGAGCAGCAAGGUUGGUGUAAAAGCCCUCCGUGAUCAAAUCCCCCUCCGGCAGAGUACCAUAAAAGGUCUCCAGAUGGGAUCUCACGAAGACAGAAACUUGCGGCAGCUAAAAAGUAUUUUUGGUGUGCCCUCUAGUCUUUGGGGAAUAUUUGGGUAUUUAUAGAAGAAUAAUUAGGGUUAGAGGAGCCACGGGGGCCCCACAAGCUUGGGGUGCCCACCCUGGGGCAUGUCCCCUGAGCUUGUCGCCGCCUCGUGGCCCUUCUCGCCUCCUCCCGAAGCUUCUAGGGUGUCUUGUGGUCCAAGAGAAAUCAUCAAAAAGUUUCGUUCCAUUUGGACUCUAUUUGGUAUUGAUUUUCUGUAAAGACAAAAACAAGGGGAAAACAACAACUCGCACUAGGCACUAGGUUAACAUGUUAGUCCCAAAAAAUGAUAUAAAAUAGCAUAAUAAUGCAUAUAAAACAUCCAAGAUUGAUAACAUAAUAGCAUGGAACAAUAAAAAAUUAUAGAUACGUUGGAGAUGUAUCAAGCACCCCCAAGCUUAAUUCCUGCCGUCCUCGAGUAGGUAAAUGAUAAAAACAGAAUUUUUGAUGUGGAAUGCUACCUAACAUGUUUAUCAGGUAAUCUUUCUUUACAUGGUAUGAAUAUUCGGAUCCAUAAGAUUCAAAACAAAAUAUUAAUAUUGACAUAAAAACAAUAAUACUUCAAGCAUACUAAAAAGCAAUCAUGUCUUUUCAAAAUAUCAUGGCUAAAGAAACUUAUCCCUACAAAAUCAUUUAGUCUUGUCAUGAUCCAUCUCCUUAACACCAAGUAUUUAUCAUGCACAACCCCGAAGACAAGCCGAGAAAUUGGUUCAUACUUUUUAAUGUGCUUCAACUUUUUCAACUCUCAUGCAGUACAUGAGCGUGAGCCAUGGAUAUAGCACUAUGGGUGGAAUAGAAUAUGAUGUUGGAGGUUGUGUGGAGAAGACAAAAAUAAGAAAAUCCCACAUUGACGAGGCUAAUCAAUGGGCUAUGGAGAUGCCCAUCAAUUGAUAUCAAUGCAAGGAGUAGGCAUUGCCAUGCAACAGAUGCAUUAGAGCUAUAAGUGUAUGAAAGCUAAAAAAACUAAAUGGGUGAGCAUCCAACUUGCUUGCUCAUGAAGACCACAAGCAUUUGUGGAAGCCCAUCAUGGGAAUAUAGAAGCCAAGUUCUAAUAAUGAAAAAUUCCCACUAGUAAUAUAUGAAAGUGACAAAAUAGGGGACUCUCUAUCAUUAAGAAAAUGGUGCUACUGUAAAGCACAAGUGUGGAAAAGGAUAGUAACAUUGUCCCUUCUCUCUUUUUUCUCUCAUUUUUUCCUUUUUUCCCUCUUUUUUUGUUGGGCACUUUGGACUCUUUUUUCUUGGGCUCAUUUGGCCUCCUUUUUUUUCGUCUGGAGUCUCAUCCCGACUUGUGGGGGAAUCAUAGUCUCCAUCAUCCUUUCCUCACAUGGGACAAUGCUCUAAUAAUGAUGAUUGUUGGGGAUAUAACUAUUAGGUAUGACCCGCCCAGUUGGGGCCGGGUUAUAUCUAUGGUGAUUCAUGAUAUGAAGCCUACAAGGAUAUUGAAGAUGGUGGUUCAUAGGCAAGGGCCCAAGGCCCAAGGGCGACUUAAGGCCCGUAGAAGUAAACCGCCAUAUGUAUAAGACUUGUAUUGUAAGGCAUGUGUAGUCACCGAGCCGGACACGUUGUCAAUGAGCCGGUCGGGACUCCGUGAGCCGCUGGGCGUCAACUUGUGUAUAUAAAGGGAUGACCCGGCGGCGGUUCAAGGCAAGAAACAACAGAUCGAAAGCUAGGUCAAGCGGAUUCGCUCCCUGGUAAUCGAGACAUAAGCAAUACCACCUCAAACUGGAUUAGGCCUUUACCUUCACCGCAAGGGGCCGAACUAGUAUAAAGUCUUGUGUCCUUUGUCCCAUUUAACCCCUUUAGGAUAACCUAGUUGCGAUGGCUCCAUGACUAAGACCUCACACUAGGACAUCUGCCGUGACUAUUCCACGACAGUUGGCGCCCACCGUGGGGCCAGCGCAUGGUGGUUUCGAGUUCUUAAAGGGCAGCUUCGAAGGGAUCAAGGGAUACGCUGUGGGCCGGAUGACUAAGAUUCAUCGCGGCAAGCUCUACAUCGAUGAUGCAGGCUGGGGACCCGAGGCCGGCUCAAUUGAGUACGGGUACCGGGUCCCCUUCGGCCAAAUCCACGCCUUCAUCAGCAAGAUCGGCAAGCCGAGCCCUGAGCCGGACAUCUGCACUAACAUCAUCGAGACGGCUCAGCGUGCAAGAAUCGCCCGAGCUCAGCUCGCCGUGAAACAUGCCUUCGUGGGAUUCAUCCAUGGAGGGGAAUUUGAUGAAGGAUCUAUGUCUGGCGGUGAGACGGCCAUCUACUCUGAUGGUGAGUCAUCCACAUGCGAGACUACUUCAUUGUAUCAACUGCAAGAUGGUAGGCUUGGGGGCUAUUCCGAUGGCGACAGUAUUCUGGACCCCCAUGAGCCGCCGAACAGGGUCGGGAUCUUCAUGGCCGGUACAUAGCCUGGUCAGAACUCUUCAACUGCAGCGGCAAUGAUCUCUGAGUCAGCAAUAACAAUGACGGCCGGGGCAGGAGGCCCUAUGCGCCCGCCGGCUCAGGUUUUAACGGAUUUAAUGGAUAAACUGAUAGAUCUGUUGAUAGUAGAGGUCAACCCGUCAAAUCAAGCUCAGCAUAAUGCGGAGAUUGCAAAGUUACAAUGAAGUAGCACUAGCCAAGGAAGACAUGGCGGCAGCAGAGCGGGCUGCUCUGGAUGCUCAGGCCCAGCGGAUUCAGUCAGAGGCUUUCUGGCUUACGAUGUAUCAAUACGCUUCAAAUGAAAUCAUGAGGAGGAGGCACAAGUCUCAUCUACCUCCGGUUUACGAGGCGAGAAACCUCUUUUGCAUGCUUGGAGCAGGGACCAGUAACCCGCCGCAGACAAACCGGGUUGCAACACCUGGGGCCGGAAGGCCGGUUCGGCCACGCGUGACGGAGCCACCUCGUUUGAAUAAUACUCCGCCUCAGCAUGUUCCAACACCACUGGGUCAUUAUUCCAACCCUUUGGAUAACAUGAUCAUUGCGGCGACAUGACUGGUGGCUCUCCCAGUAGAUGGCGACUCUACAGCGGCGGUUGAAACACGAAGGGCUAGGGAGCUUCUUCAAACUGCAUUGGUGCAGCAGGAUGCAUGUUCUUACAGUCAGGAUAGGGUUCAUUCGACCCCUCUCCCAAGAUGGAGUUAUAGUAGGCAAAUGGAUUCACCGGCCGUUUUAAGCAAUGAACAGCACCGUAACCAGCCACGUGGGUGAUAACCCACAAGUAUAGGGGAUCGGAACAAUUUUUGAGGGUAGAGUAUUCAACCCAAUUUUAUUGAUUCGACACAAGGGGAGCCAAAGAAUAUUCUCAAGUAUUAGCAGUUGAGUUUUCAAUUCAACCACACCUGGAUAACUUAAUAUCUGCAACAAAGUAUUUAGUAGCAAAGUAGUAUGGAAGUAACGGUAAUGAUCGCAAAAGUAAGAGUAGCAGUUUUGUAGUAAUUGUAAUAGUGGCAACGAUAAAGUAACGAAGCAAAGAGCAAUAUGUGAAAAGCUCAUAGGCAUUGGAUCUGUGAUGGAUAAUUAUGUCGGAUGCGAUUCCUCAUGCAACAGUUAUAACAUAGGGUGACACAGAACUAGCUCCACUUCAUCAAUGUAAUGUAGGCAUGUAUUCCGAAUGUAGUCAUACGUGCUUAUGGAAAAGAACUUGCAUGACAUCUUUUGUCCUACCCUCCCGUGGCAGCGGGGUCCUAUUGGAAACUAAGGGAUAUCAAGGCCUCCUUUUAAUAGAGUACCGGAUCAAAGCAUUAACACUUAGUGAAUACAUGAACUCCUCAAACUACGGUCAUCACCGAGACUGGUCCCGAUUAUUGUUUCUUCGGGGUUGUCGGAUCAUAACACAUAAUAGGUGACUAUAGACUUGCAAGAUAGGAUCAAGAACUCACAUAUAUUCAUGAAAAACAUAAUAGGUUCAGAUCUGAAAUCAUGGCACUCGGGCUCUAGCGACAAGCAUUAAGCAUAGGAAAGUCAUAGCAACAUCAAUCUCAGAACAUAAUGGAUACUUGGGAUCAAACCCUAACAAAACUAACUCGAUUACAUGGUAAAUCUCAUCCAACCCAUCACCAUCCAGCAAGCCUAUGAUGGAAUUACUCACGCGCGGCGGUGAGCAUCGUGAAAUUGGUGAUGGAGGAUGGUUGAUGAUGACGACGGUGAUGGAUUCCCCUCUCCGGAGCCCCGAACGGACUCCAGAUCGGCCCUAUCAAGUGAGAUUAGGGCUUGGCGGCGGCUCCGUAUUGUAAAAUGCGAUGAAUCCUUCUCUCUGAUUUUUUUCUCCCCGAACGUGAAUAUAUAGAGUUGGAGUUGAGGUCGGUGGAGCACAAGGGGGCCCACGAGGUAGGGAGGCGCGCCCAGGGGGGUACGUCGCACCCCCCACCCUCGUGGACAGGGUGUGGGCCCCCUGGCCUUGAUUCUUUUGCUAGUAUUUUUUAUUAAUUCCAAAAAUAUUCUCCGUGGAGUUUCAGGUCAUUCCGAGAACUUUUAUUUCUGCACAAAAAUAACACCAUGGCAAUUCUACUGAAAACAGCGUCAGUCCGGGUUAGUUCCAUUCAAAUCAUGGAAGUUAGAUUCCAAAACAAGGGCAACAGUGUUUGGAAAAGUAGAUAUGAUGGAGACGUAUCAACUCCCCCAGGCUUAAACCUUUACUUGUCCUCAAGCAAUUCAGUUGAUAAACUGAAAGUGAUAAAGAAGAACUUUUACAAACUCUGUUUUCUCUUGUUGUAGUAAAUAUGUAAAGCCAACAUUCAAGUUUUCAACAAAGCUUAUGAACUAACCAUAUUCACAAUAACACUUAGGUCUCAUGUUUACUCAUAUGAAUGGCAUAAUCAACUAGCGAGCAAUAAUAAUAAAACUCAGAUGACAAAACUUUCUCAAAACAACCAUAAUAUGACAUAACAAGAUGGUAUCUCGCUAGACCUUUCUGAGACCGCAAAACAUAAAUGCAGAGCACCUCUAAAGAUUAAGGACUGACUAAACAUUGUAAUUCAUGGUAAAAGAGAUCUAGUCAUAGUCAUCCUCAAUAUAAAUUAAUAGUAAUGCAUGCAAAUGACAGCGGUGCUCUCCAACUAGUGCUUUUUUAAUAAGAGGAUGAUGACUCAACAUAAAAGUAAAUAGAUAGGCCCUUCACAGAGGGAAGCAGGGAUUUUUAGAGGUGCUAGAGCUCCAUUUUGAAAUAGAGAUAAAUAAUAUUUUGAGCGGCAUACUUUCAUUGUCAACAUAACAACCAAGAGAUCUCGAUAUCUUCCAUGCUACACACAUUAUAGGCGAUUCCCAAAUAGAAUGGUAAAGUUUAUACUCCCCCACCACCAACAAUCAUCAAUCCAUGGCUUGCCCGAAACAAUGGGUGCCUCCAACUAACAACAAUCCUGGGGGAGUUUAUUUGAGCAUAGGACUGGGCAUCCUGGUGACCAACCAUUUUCUCGUGAGUGAGGAGCGGAGUCCACUCCUCUUGAGAAUAACCUGCCUAGCAUGGAAGAUAUAGACAUCCCUAGUUGACACAUGAGUUGUUCGAGCAUACAAAACAGAAUUUCAUUUGAAGGUUUGGAGUUUGGCACAUACAAAUUUACUUGGAACGGUAGGUAGAUACUGCAUAUAGGAAGGUAUGUUGGGCACAUAUGGGAUAACUUUGGGGUUUAUGGAAGUGGAUGCACAAGCAGUAUUCCCGCUUAGUACAAGUGAAGGCUAGAAAAAGACUGGGAAGUGACCAACUAGAGAGCGACAACAAUCAUGAACAUGCAUUAAAAUUAAUAGACAUUGAGUGCAAGCAUGAGUAGGAUAUAAUCCACCAUGAACAUAAAUAUCGUGGAGGCUAUGUGGAUUUUGUUUCAACUACAUGCGUGAACAUGUGCCAAGUCAAGUCACUCGAAUCGUUCAAAGGAGGAUACCACCCUAUCAUACCACAUCACAACCAUUUAAAUAGCAUGUUGGCAUGCAAGGUAAACCAUUAUAAACUCCUAGCUAAUUAAGCAUGGCAUAAGCAACUAUAAUCUCUAAUUGUCAUUGCAAACAUGUUUAUUCAUAAUAGGCUGAAUCAGGAACGAUGAACUAAUCAUAUUUACAAAAACAAGAUAGGUCGAGUUCAUACCAACUUCUCUAAUCUUAAUCAUUUCAUCAUAUAUCGUCAUUAUUGCCUUUCACUUGCACGACUGAACGGUGUGAAUAAUAAUAAUAGUGCACGUGCAUUGGACUAAGCUGGAAUAUGCAAGCAUUCAAUUCAAGGGAGAAGACAAGGUAAUAUGGGCUCUUUUUUAAAUCAACAAUAAUGCAUGUAAGAGCCACUCAACAUUUUCAUCAUGGUCUUCUCCUCUCGACCCCCAAAGAAAAGAAAAGAAAUAAAACUAUUUACACGGGAAAGCUCCCAACAAGCAAAAGAAGAACGAGAAAUCUUUUUGAGUUUUCAUUUAAUUACUACUACUACAUGCAUGGAAAGUAAACUAGCUAAAAGUUAUAACUAUUUUUUUGGUUUUUUUAAGGUUUUUCAAACACACUAGAAGAAGACUUAGAAAAGAAAAUAAACUAGCAUGGAUAGUACAAUGAAAGAGUAUGAGCACCGACAACUAGAAUGAGUGUGUGAACAUGAAUGUAAUGUCGGUGAGAAAUACGCACUCCCCAAAACUUAGGCUUUUGUCCUAAGUUGGUCUAUGCCCAUGGGUGAAAGUUAUAGCUGGGGUCAUACUGAUAUGCAACAGCUAUUGCCUCAUGAGCUGCAGCUUGGAGCCAAGCUACCUCCGUCCUCCUCUCGUACUCGUUCGCCUCCUCCCUGGUUAUAAUAUAUCUCCUUUCUUUCCUGAAAAUCAAAGAAACCAGGAGCAAGGAAAGCAACACGGACAGUGCGACGUCUAUCAAAGAUUAGUCGGUAUUGGAGGAACUGUCCAUUCCUCUCAACAAACUGAUGACGAACCAUGGCAUCCUAAUCUAGAUAAGCGGGAAGCAACUCCAUAUCAUUUUCAUGUAUGGGUAUCUCAAGAAAAUUAGCCACACGGGUUGCAUAAAUCCCACCAAACAAGUCUCCAUUUAAACUAUUAUUAUGCAACCUACGUGCAACAAUGGCCCCCAAGUUAUAUUAUUUAUCUCCUAGCACAGCACUCUUGAGAACACUAAGAUCAGGAACACACAUGUGACGUGCCUCGUCCUUACCAUUUAUGCAUCUACCUAUAAAGAGAGCAAAAUAAUUUAUAGCAGGAAAAUGAAUGCUCCCUAUGGUAGCUUGUGCUAUUUCUCUAGAUUCCCCCACAGUGAUACUAGCAAGAAAAUUUUUAAAUUCAGAUUUGCGAGGUUCACUAGCACUACCCCAUUGCGGGAGUUUACAAGCAGUAUUAAAAUCUUCUAGGUCCAUGGUAUAAGAUUUAUCAUAAAGAUCAAAUAGGACAGUGUGAGAAUUGUGUGAAGAUGUAAAUUUGAACCUUCUCACAAAGGAAUCAGUUAAGUGGUAAUAUUGAGGCCACUUAUCUAGCAUGAAGCCCUCGAGUUCAGCAUUACGCACAUAUGCGUCCAAUUCCUCCUUAAUUCCUGCUUGGACCAUGAAAUCUUCUGACGGCCAUUCACAAGGUCGCACUUGAGCUUCCCUCGGUGGUUCAUCGUCCUGCUCACGUAUUGCGGGCCUCGGUCCUUGCUUCCUUGAAGAACCACCUUGGUACAUUUUCCUAAACAUAUUUCUUCCUCUGAAAAAUUUCUGAAAAUUUCAGUAACUCAAAAUAAAAGUGAACCAAACUCAACAAAAUUGAUAGCAACUACUCCCACAAGUGCCUAGAGACUAUAUCAUGCAUUAGAAGUACCUGGGACCAAAUAAAUUUGACAUGCAAGCUCAAGAACAGGGCCACCUUAGUAGCAAAAAUUUGCAAUGAAUAAAGCACUAGAACAAAAACUAAUUGGACCAUUGGAGGAGUCACAUACCAAAGAACAAUCCCUGAAAGCAGUUUUGUGAGUGGAGCUUUGAGCAAGGAGAUCGAAAAUGGCAGCAAGAUGAGCUAGAACUCGUGCUUGAGCUGGUUGGUGAUUUUUUUGGGAGGAAGGAGUGUGUGGGUGCAGGAAUAAGUGGAGGGGGGCACCAGGGGCCCACGAGGCAGGGGGCAUGCCCUGGACCCUCGUGGCCAGGUGGUUGCCCCCUCUGGUGUGUUCUCAGUGCCAAAUAUUCUCAAAUAUUCUAGAAAAAAUCAUAUUUCAUUUUCAGGGCAUUUGGAGAACUUUUAUUUUCGGGGUAUUUUUUUAUUGCAAGGAUAAUUCAGAAAACAGACAUAUAAUACUAUUUUUUGCUUUAUUUAAUCUAUAUAACAGAAAGUAAAAGGAGGGUACUGAGAGUUGUGCUUUCUAACUUCAUCCAUCUCAUGCUCAUCAAAAGGAAUCCACUAACAAGGUUGAUCAAGUCUUGUUAACAAACUCAUUCCGAAUUGGAUGAAACCGGAGAAUUUUCGAAUAGCACUAGGUUACCUCAACGGGGAUAUGUACAUCCCAAUAAUAAGAAUAUAAUAUUUCUUCUUGAAAGUAGGAAGAGGAAAUUCAAAACCUCCAAUAAUAAUCGAUGGAAUUUUUCCAACAGAAUUGAUACUGUGAACUUGAGGUUGUUUCCUCGGAAAGUGUACCGUAUGCUCAUUACCAUUAACAUGAAAAGUGACAUUGCCUUUGUUGCAAUCAAUAACAGCCCCUGCAGUAUUCAAACAGGGUCUACCAAGGAUAAUCGACAUACUAUCGUCCUCGGGAAUACCAAGAAUAACAAAGUCCGUUAUGAUAGUAACAUUUGCAACCACAAUAGGCACAUCCUCACAAAUACCGACAGGUAUAGCAGUUGAUUUAUCGGCCAUUUGCAAAGAUAUUUCAGUAGGUGUCAACUUAUUCAAUUCAAGUCUAUGAUAUAAAGAGAGAGGCUAACACUAACACCGGCUCAAGAUCACAUAAAGCAGUUUUAACAUAAUUUCUUUUAAAGGAGCAUGGUAUAGUUGGUACUCCCUGAUCUCCUAGUUUCUUAGGUAUUCCACCUUUAAAAGUAUAAUUAGCACGCAUGGUGGAAAUUUGAGCCUCUGGUAUCUUUCUUUUGUUUGUAACAAUAUCUUUCAUGUACUUAGAAUAAGGAUUUAUUUUAAGCAUAUCAGUCAAACGCAUACGCAAAAAGAUAGGUCUAAUCAUUUCGGCAAAGCGCUCAAAAUCCUCAUCAUCCUUUUUCUUGGAUGGUUUAGGAGGAAAACGCAUGGGUUUCUAAACCCAUGGUUCUCUUUCUUUACUGUGCUUCCUAGCAAUGAAGUCUCAUUUAUCAUAAUGUUGAUUCUUUGAUUGUGGGUUAUCAAGAUCAACAACAGGUUCAAUCUCUACAUCAUUAUUUCUAGGUUGAGCAUCAACAUGAACAUCAUCAUUAACAUUAUCACUAGGUUCAUGUUCAUCAGCAGAUUGUGUUUCAGCAUUAGAAAUAGAAAUAUCAUUGGGAUUCUCAGGUGUGUCUACAACAGGUUCACUAGAAGCAUGCAAAGUCCUAUCAUUUUUCUUUUUCUUCCUAUUAGAAGGACUAGGUGCAUCUACAUUAUUUCUCUGAGAAUCUUGCUCAAUCCUCUUAGGGUGGCCCUCAGGAUACAAAGGUUCCUGAGUCGUUUUACCCCGUCUAGUCAUAACUCUAACAUCAUUAUCAUUUUUCUUGUUAUUUAAUUCAUUGAGCAAAUCAUUUUGAGCUUUAAGCACUUGUUCAACUUGAGUGGUAACCAUAGAAGCAUGUUUACUAAUAAGUUUAAGUUCACCUUUAACUCUAGACAUAUAAUCACUCAAGUGUUUAACCAUAUAAGCAUUACGUUUCAAUUGUCUACCAACAUAAGCAUUGAAGUUUUCUUGUUUAGCCAUAAAGUUAUCAAACUCAUCCAAGAAUUGGCUAACAAACUUAGUAGACGGGAUUUCAACUUUAUCAUAUCUAUAGAGAGAAUUUACCUUUACUACCCGUGUCGGGUUAUCAAGACCAUGUACUUCUUCAAUAGGUGGUAAAUUAAGGCCAUGUAUUUCUUCAACAGGAGGUAAAUUCUUAAGAUCUUCAGUUUUAAUACCUUUUUCUUUCAUAGAUUUCUUUGCCUCUUGCAUAUCUUCAGGACUGAGAAAUAGAACACCUCUUUUCUUCGAAGUUGGUUCAAGAAGCGUCCAAUUGUUUUCAUUAGUCAACAUAUUAUUCAAUAGCAAUUCAGCUUGAUCGACUGUUCUUUACCUGAAAACACAACCAGCACAACUAUCCAGGUGGUCUCUGGAAGCAUCGGUUAGUCCAUUAUAAAAGAUAUCAAGUAUUUCAUUUUUCUUGAGAGGAUGAUCAGGAAAAGCAUUAAGUAAUUGGAGAAGCCUCCCCCAAGCUUGUGGGAGACUCUCUUCUUCAAUUUGCACAAAAUUAUAUAUUUCCCUUAAAGCAGCUUGUUUCUUAUGAGCGGGGAAAUAUUUAGUAGAAAAGUAAUAAAUCAUAUCCUGGGGACUACACACACAACCAGGAUCAAGAGAGUUAAACCAUAUUUUAACAUCACCCUUUAAUGAGAACAGAAAUAAUUUAAGAAUAUAGUAGUAACAAUUUUUCUCAUCAUUAGUGAAUAGGGUGGCUAUAUCAUUUAACUUAGUAAGAUGUGCCACAACAGUUUCAGAUUCAUACCCAUAAAAGGGAUCAGAUUCAACCAAAGUAAUUAUCUCAGGAUCAACAGAGAAAUCAUAAUCCUUAUCACUAACACAGAUAGGUGAAGUAGCAAAAGCAGGGUCAUAUUUCAUCCAAGCAUUCAAAGACUUUACUUUCAGCUUAGAUAAUAAUUUCUUAAGAUCAGAUCUAUCAUUGCAAGCAAGAAAAUCUCUAGCGGUUUCUUCAUCCAUAACAUAACCCUCAGGCACAACAUAUAAUUCAUAUCUAGGGGGGAGAAUCUUCAUCAUCAGUUUCAUCAAUAUUAUCAGUUUCAAUCAUUUCAUUCUCUCUAGCCCUAGCAAGUUGUUUAUCAAGAAAUUCACCUAAUGGCACAGUAGUAUCAAGCAUAGAAGUAGUUACAUCAUAAGUGUCAUGCAUAGCAGAAGUGACAUCAUCAAUAACAUGCGACAUAUAAGAAUUAAUGGCAGAAGCAGGUUUAGGUGUCGCAAGUUUACUCAAAACAGAUGGUGAAUCAAGUGCAGAGCUAGAUGGCAAUUCCUUACCUUCCCUCGUAGUUGCGGGAUAAAUCUUGGUUUUCUCGUCUUUCAAGUUCCUCAUAGUGAUCCGCAGAUAUAAAUCCCAAGUGACUCAAAGAAUAGAGCUAUGCUCCCCGGCAACGGCGCCAGAAAAUAAUGUUGAUAACCCACAAGCAUAGGGGAUCGCAAUAGUUUUUGAGGGUAGAGUAUUCAAGCCAAAUUUAUUGAUUCGACACAAGGGGAGCCAAAGAAUAUUCUCAAGUAUUAGCAGUUGAGUUGUCAAUUCAACCACACCUGGAUAACUUAAUAUAUGCAGCAAAGUAUUUAGUAGCAAAGUAGUAUGGAAGUAACGGUAACAGUAGCAAAAGUAACAUUAGCAGUUUUGUAGUAAUUGUAACAGUGGAAAUGGUAAAGUUACUAAGCAAAGAGCAAUAUGUGAAAAGAUUGUAGGCAUUGGAUCAGUGAUGGAUAAUUAUGUCGGAUGCGAUUCCUCAUGCAACAGUUAUAACAAAGGGUGACACAGAACUAGCUCCAGUUCAUCAAUAUAAUGUAGGCAUGUAUUCCGAAUAUAGUCAUACGUGCUUAUGGAAAAGAACUUGGAUGACAUCUUUUGUCCUACCCUCCCGUGGUAGCGGGGUCCUAUUGGAAACUAAGGGAUAUUAAGGCCUCCUUUUAAUAGAGUACUGAACCAAAGCAUUAACACUUAGUGAAUACAUGAACUCCUCAAACUACGGUCAUCAGCGAGAGUGGUCCUGAUUAUUGUUACUUCGAGCUUGUCGUAUCGUAACACAUAAUAGGUGACUAUAGACUUGCAAGACAGGAUCAAGAACUCACAUAUAUUCAUGAAAACAUAAUAGGUUCAGAUCUGAAAUCGUGGCACUCGGGCCCUAGUGACAAGCAUUAAGCAUAGCAAAGUCAUAGCAACAUCAAUCCCAGAACAUAAUGGAUACUAGGGAUCAAACCCUAACAAAACUAACUCGAUUACAUGGUAAAUCUCAUCCAACCCAUCACCGUCCAGCAAGCCUACUAUGGAAUUACUCACGCACGGCAGUGAGCAUCAUGAAAUUGGUGAUGGAGGAUGGUUGAUGAUGACGAUGGCGACGGAUUCCCCUCUCCGGAGCCCCGAACGGACUCCAGAUCAGCCCUCCCGAGAGAGAUUAGGGCUUGGCGGCGGCUCCGUAUCGUAAAACGUGAUGAAUCCUUCUCUCUGAUUUUUUUUCUCCCUGAACGUGAAUAUAUAGAGUUGGAGUUGUGGUCGGUGGAGCACCAGGGGGCCCACGAGGCAGGGAGGCACGCCCAGGGGGGUAGGGCGUGCCCCCACCCUCGUGGGCAGGGUGUGGGGCCCAUGGCCUUGAUUCUUUGGCCAGUAUUUUUUAUUAAUUCCAAAAAUAUUCUCGGUGGAGUUUCAGGUCAUUCCGAGAACUUUUAUUUCUGCACAAAAAUAACACCAUGGCAAUUCUGCUGAAAAUAGCGUUAGUCCGGGUUAGUUCCAUUCAAAUCAUGCAAGUUAGAGUUCAAAACAAGGGCAAAAGUAUUUGGAAAAGUAGAUACGAUGGAGACGUAUCAGUGGGCAGGACCCGACACAUGAUGGAUCUCAUGACUUGGUCGAUCAGGACAGAGUGCGUCAGGAGGCUGAGUAGGCGGCUCAGCGGGCGGCUCACCAGCCCCUUCCGAUUUAUCCAACGGCUUCACUGGAGGCAAGUGUGACCUCUAGAACUACAGGUGUACCCUGUUUGGUGCCGGCUCUGCGUAAUGAGCAUUUGCCCAAGGAUUUCAAAGGAUCUCGUAAGGUGCCUAACUACACAGCCGACUUACCCCCUGAGGCGUGUAUUGAGAGUUAUGAGAUGGCCAUGGAACUGUUGGAGGUCAGCGAUGCCGCAUGUGCUAAAUACUUCACCAUGAUGCUGGAUGGGACGGCCCGUACUUGGUUAAAAGGGCUGCCUGCCAACUCCAUCGUGUCAUGGGGAGAACUGAAGGCCCGAUUUAUCCAGAACUUUAAAGACACAUGCAAACAUCCCAUGUCGAUUGUGGAUUUAUCUGCUUGCACCCAAGAGGAGGGUGAAUCAAUGACCCAUUGGGUGCGCCGGGUCAAGGCUAUUAUACACUCAUCUGAUAACAUCCAUGCCGGCUCUGCAGUCUUGAUGUUGGAGAAAAAAUGCCGUUUUUUUGCCUCUUAAGCAGAAACUAGGGCAGCUCAAGCGUGAUUGCAAUGAUAUGGGGCACCUGAUGGCGGCUCUAAUUAAAUAUGCCGACUUUGAUGGUACCAAGGACCCCGAGUCUGAUGAUGAAAAGACGGGAAAGGGAAAGAAGAGUGGCAACGCUAAGGGUCCCCAGCAUAACCCGGUGAGUCAGGGGGUAACGACAAGCGCAACGCUGAUGGUAACUCGGAUUUUGUAGCUAAUACCAAUACGCAGAACAAUGAUCAGCGUUCUAAGGGGAGGCCGCCUCCUCAGACAGGUGGAUCAGGUCCCACUCUUGCGCAGUUGCUGAAUGAGCCCUGCCCAAAGCAUGGUACAAAGGGGAGGUCAUCCACUCACCUUUGGAAAGAUUGUAAAAUCAUGAGGGCUUUCAAAAAUUCUAAUUUAUUCUACAACAACCAUGGGCCGGGCGGCGGCUCAGGUUCUGGUGGCAGCGGUUUUCAUGGCCCGGGUUAUGGAGCUGGCGGUUCUAAUCCCGGCUUCCAGGGUCACCAAAACCAUCAAGGUAAUCAGGGUAGUUACAGUCAAGGUAAUUAGGAUAAUUACAAUCAACAAUCCAGUCAAGGGCCUAUUGGUUGCGGUUGACAAAUUCACAAAGUGGGUCGAAGCAAAGCCGGUCAGUAGGUGUGACAUAGCAACGAUGAUUCAAUUCAUCAAAAAGGUGAUUUUUCGCUUUGGCUUUCCCCACAGCAUCAUAACUAAUAAUGGCACAAAUCUGUCUAAAGGUGUUAUGAAAGAUUUUUGUCAACAUGAGCAUAUUCGACUUGAUGUAUCGUUAGUGGCUCAUCCUCAAUCCAAUGGUCAAGCCGAAAGAGCCAAUCAAGAAAUUUUGAGAGGUAUCAAACCCCGGCUUAUGGUUCCUUUGUAGAGGACGUUGUUUUGUUGGGUGGAGGAGUUACCUUUAGUGCUAUGGAGUAUCAAUACUACCCCCAACAGAUCUACGGGUUACACACCUUUCUUCAUGGUUUACGGAGCAGAGGCGGUUCUCCCUAGUGACAUCCGUCACGACUCACCCCGCAUGGCGGCUUAUGUUGAAGUUGAUAAUGAACAAGCACAUCAGGACGCGCUUGACCUUGCCGUAAAGGUCCCUAGUGUAGGGUUCGUAAGCUUGCUUCUCUAUUGGGAAGUUGGACCACAGAUCAAUCUCAAGGUGUUGUGUCCUGUAAUCAUUGCAGCCUUCCUUGGCAAGGAUGUGGUUCUAAAUUUUUUAAUAUUGCUUGACGAAGUUCAGCACCGAGUUGUGUGGGUUCACAUAUCUUUUUAGAACGGUGUUGAACCCCUCACUACACUGUGUAGACUGCAGGAAGGGGAAGAACCUAUGUUUGAAGUAGCACGGCACCCAAGUUGACCUGUAUUCGUACAACUUGUCAAAGUGUGUGUGUGUCAUAUCCUCGUACUUCAUCAUUAACCCAACCCAAUUCUGUUCAAACUCGUCUGGAGUGAAGCUAAAGUCAACACUGUUGUUGAAAUCAUCAGAGAGCCCUGGAUUCCGGCACAACAACCAAUCAACCUUUUCCUGUGCCUUCUUCCUGAUGUGCCAUCGACAACAUCGAUGCACGGUGGUUGGAAAGAUGCUCUGUAUUGACUGCCUCAUUGCACCAUCCUGAUUGGUUAUGAAGUUGUCAGGAGGUUUGCCACCCAUAGCCUCUAGGAAUGCUUGGAAGACCCAAUCAAAGCUCGAUGCCAACUCCUACCUCACAAACGCGCAACCAAGCAUGAAAGAUUGGCCAUGUCAGUUUAUUCCAAUGAAGGGUGCGAACGGCAUAUUAUACAUGUUGGUCAUGUAGGUAGUGUCAAACGAUAUGCAAUCGUGGUACGCCUCAGCAUAACCUUUUCGAGCUAAGCCAUCCACCCAAAAUAUGUUGACAACUCUGUCCUCUUCAUCAUAUUUUACCUUAUAGAAGAAGUCUGGAUCGGUUUUCUGUAUAUCCUUGAAGUCCACUAUUGUUUCAAUCAUGUCACCCUCCUUUGUGUCAUCUCUACGGAAACUUGUACGCAGAUUUGUUAUUGCCUUUGGUCCGAACGGCACCAUCAUCUCAGAUCCGUAGAACUCUGCCAUUAUAUGCGUCAUAGGUCCUGCAUAAUACAAAAAGAAAACAAUAUAUCCUUUUUUAGUCGCACGAAUGCACAAAUCCAGAUGCACAGUAAUAGGACGUGUGUUGGCACAGAAGAUAGUUGCAGGAAAUGGACACCUAGAUGCACCUUUUUAAAAACACUUUACACUUUGCAUACAUGACAUUGUGUAGUUGCACACUGAAGGUAAUCUUGUUGCACAACAAGCACCAAAGUGAUAUAGAAACAGCAUGGGAAGUUGGACACCGGUUGCACAGUUAAGACAUUUCAGUUGCAUAGGAGUACCAUAAUAGUUGCACACUGGACUGCCUAGAGGGAAACUUAAUUCUGUAAGGGAUAUAGAAACACACCUGUAGUCAAGUUGCAGUUAUACAAGAUGCGCAAAAACUCCUUUUCAUCAGGUGAGAUGCCUUGGUGGGAUCUCAAGUAUUUGGACAACGAAGGUUUGUUCACCAGCGGAUGAUUGUGGUCACGAAAAAAGUGCGUCACCUCCCUUCGCCCAUCUAUCAGCUUCACCAACAUUUUUGCCUUGCAUUGAGUCUGCUUUAUUGUCUCGCGUUUGCGUUUCUUCUUCUUCUUACUAGGAUCAGCCUCCUCUUCAGCAAAGAUUGGAGGUUCAUCUUCCAUUUCCUCAUCACUAUCAACAGGUUUUGGAUCUAGAAUAGGGUCCAGGAUAGGAGGAGGCUCAGCUCCUCCAUCAUCAGCUUUGGGCUUCUUGAACUUGUUCAGCAAAGCUGCUGUUUUACCAAUACAUUGGUGUGAGGUGUCCACCUAGAGGUGUUCAUCUUGACAGAGAAACCCAUCCGUAGGGCAUAGCUAUUGUAGUGAUCCUUAGCAAUUUGAAGGCUGUCAAACCUCAUGCCAACAUAGGGUUCCAUAGGUUGAGAACCAGCCUCAUCCUCUCCUUCUUCUCCUUGCACAGCUCUGUCAACAGCCCCGGCUCCUAGCUCAGUCCUGGAUGGACUAGGAACAUUUGCCGCGGUUCCCAUGUCAUCAAGAGUAUGGCUCUCUGACUGCAAAGACACCACUACAGGGGCACCACGGGUUGAUGACUGUCCUGCCACAUUGUCAUGGCCCAUAGGGUUACCACCACGACUUGCCUGCAUGUAGUAAAUAGAUCGCCCAUUUUCUGUCCAAUUUCCUUGUGGUAUGCUGGGUUGCUGCUGAUCCAUAUCACGAGGAAGCUCAUUGAGAUCAGGAGGCUACUCAUUGAGAUCAAGCAUUUUUUUCCUUUUUUUGGAUGCUGCCACACACUCCCUGCACAUAAAAAAAAAGAAAGUGAUGUCAUCAGUUGUUAACCACGAAAUAGUGUUUCAAACAACCUAAAAACUUAGUAAAUAGGCAGUUGCACACCAUUAUGACAAUCUUAGUUGCAAAAGUUACAUGACUAUAGCAGAAUCUUUAUUAUAACAGUUAUGCAUUUUUUGUUUGCACAAGGUUGUUAUGUUAGUUGCACAGUUUGCAGCAAAUAGCUGCCAAGAACAUGACUUCUUUUUACUACAGAGUUUUCUAACUUUUUUCCUCUGUUUGUUGCAAUGAUCUGCAGGUUUUCUGUUUGUCAAGGAGCCGAUUCAGAUUUUUCUGCACAUAAUUUGGACAUAAUUUGAUGCUACAUUUGAGGCAGAAAAUCCAGGUGAAAGAAGAAAGAAGAAUUGGAUGAAAGAUUAUACUUAUAUGUUUUCAUCAUCGUUUAUGUUUUUACUUCUAGUAUAUUGAACAUAUUUUUACACUAUAGCUUUGCAAUAGGUGUGGGACCAGAAUAUAUGUGUGGGACAAGAUUAUAUGCGUGACUAUUUUAAUAUGGUUUGUGGCUUCAUUAGCCAUGGACAAAAGUUCUUGUGUUUUUGCUGUCGUACUACAGAUUUAUGGUUUUUGCUAGAAUAGAUGUCUCAGUUGCCAGGAUGCAUUUUUUUAGUUGGCCAACAUGCAUGUUCACUUGGACAGCCAAUGUGUUUAGUUGGCUAGAAUAUAUGUCUCAGUUGACCAGGAUGCAUUUUUUUUUCAGUUUUGGCCAACAUGCAUGUUCAGUUGGACAGCCAAUGUGUUCAGUUGGCUAGAAUAGAUGUCUCAGUUGGCCAAGAUACAUUUUUUCAGUUUUGGCCAACAUGCAUGUUUAGUUGGCCAGAAAACAUGAUUUUAUUGCACAUAUACUUCAGGUUUUCUGAAGUGUUCACUCACAAACGUCCAAUACAUGUGGGGCACAAUGCAUGUUUUAGUUUGGCUAGGAUGCAUGCUAAGCUUCCCGAAUACACAUUCAGUUGGCUGGGAUGCAUGUUCAGUUGCACAUUUAUGAAUUUUUCGUUGCACAUAUCUUUUGGACAGUCAAUUUGUUCAUUUGCAAACAAUAACUACAAGUUGGUAGAAUGCAUGUUUAGUUUUUGGCUACAAUGCUUGUUGAGUUGGCUUUAAUCAGGUUUUAAUUGGCCAGAGAACUUGUUUUAGGUGGCUUGUUUAACACAUCCAGGCGGCGGAAACUUGGUUGGCAUGUAUCAUAUUCAGUAAAGUUGGUCUCAAACCAUGUUUAGUGUGCAACUAGGCAGCGGUGGAACUAAACCUAAAUGACUUGUGUUUAGUUGCACAAACCAGGAAAUAGUAGGCUUCUAUCCAUGGUUAGUUGCACAAUAAUUCAUGGUACUUGUUUUCAGUUGCAGAUAUGUCAUUCAUGGGGGGGGUGGUGUGAUGUGCCAGAUUCACCUCUUUUUGAAGCNNNNNNNNNNNNNNNNNNNNNNNNNNNNNNNNNNNNNNNNNNNNNNNNNNNNNNNNNNNNNNNNNNNNNNNNNNNNNNNNNNNNNNNNNNNNNNNNNNNNNNNNNNNNNNNNNNNNNNNNNNNNNNNNNNNNNNNNNNNNNNNNNNNNNNNNNNNNNNNNNNNNNNNNNNNNNNNNNNNNNNNNNNNNNNNNNNNNNNNNNNNNNNNNNNNNNNNNNNNNNNNNNNNNNNNNNNNNNNNNNNNNNNNNNNNNNNNNNNNNNNNNNNNNNNNNNNNNNNNNNNNNNNNNNNNNNNNNNNNNNNNNNNNNNNNNNNNNNNNNNNNNNNNNNNNNNNNNNNNNNNNNNNNNNNNNNNNNNNNNNNNNNNNNNNNNNNNNNNNNNNNNNNNNNNNNNNNNNNNNNNNNNNNNNNNNNNNNNNNNNNNNNNNNNNNNNNNNNNNNNNNNNNNNNNNNNNNNNNNNNNNNNNNNNNNNNNNNNNNNNNNNNNNNNNNNNNNNNNNNNNNNNNNNNNNNNNNNNNNNNNNNNNNNNNNNNNNNNNNNNNNNNNNNNNNNNNNNNNNNNNNNNNNNNNNNNNNNNNNNNNNNNNNNNNNNNNNNNNNNNNNNNNNNNNNNNNNNNNUCGAUCGCACUAGUGGGCAGCUGGCCGCCCACUAGACGCAUCCUAAUUAGAAACAUCCGUUUCUUCUUAUCUUUGGUGUCAGUAAAUGAGUGAUGGCAUAAGGGACGUGUUUUUGUUAGGAUUAAAUUAAUAGAUUAAUUAAAGAGAUAAUCCUUCCAUUGUAAUCUGUACGUCGGUUGCAUUGGUAACCGUCGCGCCUCUCCCCUUGCACCUCUAUGAACAGUCGCAUCUCUUAAUUGCGUCUGUUCCUCUUGUAUAUAUACCGAGAAUCAUUGUCAAUGCAAUAAGACAGUUCCAUCAUUUGUUCCUUUCGAUCUCAAACACAUUAUCAGCAUGCUCCCGCACAGUGAUUCCAGUGACGCACUAGCUGCGAUGGCGUUGGCGCAUGUCCAGACCGCAUCCUGGCGGUGGCGUCCGAGGCCAAGACUCUCGUCUGGCCAUCCGUAGUGAUUUCCUUUGGUGCGCACGCAACUAUCCCGAGGGAGAUGCCACGCGAGAAGAACGGGGCGAAUAGCAGCACCCGCGAGGGAGAGCAGCGGCAGCUCCGAUGCAUUCAAAGUCCAAGAUGGGAAGAAGAAGAGAAUCAGAGACUUGAGUCAAGCACCAUGCAAAUUGGAGUACCAACUUCAUCUAAUUGCUACAGAAAAACAAUGUGCGACUUUUCAAUUUAAUUCAUGGCUACACAAAUUUGCUUUACCAUGAACAAAAUCUUGCCUUACACUGGAUAAAGGAAGAACGCAUCCACAGCAAGAAACAUCGCCUGGCUUCAGUCCCCCGCUGGACCAAGACGCCGGCUCCAGUGGCUUCAUCCCUACCGCACCGAAGAAUCACACCUCCGCGUUGAAUCCUGCCGCCACCAAUGGCGAUGGCAUUUGCUUCCCCUGGCCUCGGCCCCGCGCUAGACCAGGACACCAGAAUCACCAG
rnacentral:lncRNA from 1 species